CAAUAGCGUAUAUUAAAGUUGUUGCAGUUAAAAAGCUCGUAGUUGGAUUUCUGGUUGAAGCGACCGGUCGGGCGUUGAUUCGUCUGCACUGGAGUCGGUUUUGGCCAUCCUCUAGGAAAGUGCGUCUGGUAUUAAGUUAUCGGGCGUAUGAUCCUGGUCUUUUACUGUGAAAAAAUUAGAGUGUUUAAAGCAGGCCUUCGCCUUGAAUACAUUAGCAUGGAAUAAUAAGAUAGGACUUCGGUCUAUUUUGUUGGUUUGCAGACCGAAGUAAUGAUUAAUAGGGAUAGUUGGGGGUAUUUAUAUUCCGAUGCCAGAGGUGAAAUUCUUAGAUUUUCGGAAGAUAAACUUAUGCGAAAGCAUUUACCAAGGAUGUUUUCAUUA
rnacentral:rRNA from 1 species